UACAGAGGUCUCAAGCGUUGUUCGGAUUUACUGGGCGUAAAGGCGCGUAGGCGGUCAGCACAAGUCAGUUGUGAAAUCUCCGGGCUUAACUCGGAAAGGUCAACUGAUACUGUGCGACUAGAGUGCAGAAGGGGCAACUGGAAUUCUCGGUGUAGCGGUGAAAUGCGUAGAUAUCGAGAGGAACACCUGCGGCGAAGGCGGGUUGCUGGGCUGACACUGACGCUGAUGCGCGAAAGCCAGGGAGCGAACGGG
rnacentral:rRNA from 1 species